rnacentral:siRNA from 1 species
UAGGGUUGACCGGCGUUGACCAAC